rnacentral:rRNA from 1 species
UAAUUCGUCGACCAACCUCGCCCCAUGCUCCAGAAUAGCUCUUGGAAACGGGUGGUAAUGCUGGAUGCUCCAACUUGACGCAUGUCNUUGUUGGAAGUGUUUAGUGGCAUGGGAUGGGGUCGCGUCCUAUCAGCUUGUAGGCGGGGUAAUGGCCCACCUAGGCUUCGACGGGUAGCCGGCCUGAGAGGGCGGACGGCCACAUUGGGACUGAGAUACGGCCCAGACUCCUACGGGAGGCAGCAGCAA